rnacentral:rRNA from 1 species
CCUACGGGGGGCAGCAGUGAGGAAUAUUGGACAAUGGAGGCAACUCUGAUCCAGCCAUGCCGCGUGCAGGAAGACUGCCCUAUGGGUUGUAAACUGCUUUUAUACAGGAAGAAACACCUCUACGUGUAGAGGCUUGACGGUACUGUAGGAAUAAGGAUCGGCUAACUCCGUGCCAGCAGCCGCGGUAAUACGGAGGAUCCAAGCGUUAUCCGGAAUCAUUGGGUUUAAAGGGUCCGUAGGUGGAUAAUUAAGUCAGAGGUGAAAUCUUGCAGCUCAACUGUAAAAUUGCCUUUGAAACUGGUUAUCUUGAGUUAUUAUGAAGUAGUUAGAAUAUGUAGUGUAGCGGUGAAAUGCAUAGAUAUUACAUAGAAUACCAAUUGCGAAGGCAGAUUACUAAUAAUCAACUGACACUGAUGGACGAAAGCGUGGGUAGCGAACAGGAUUAGAUACCCCAGUAGUC